AACGAACGCUGGCGGCAUGCCUAACACAUGCAAGUCGAACGAGACCUUCGGGUCUAGUGGCGCACGGGUGCGUAACGCGUGGGAACCUGCCCUUAGGUUCGGAAUAACUCCCCGAAAGGGGUGCUAAUACCGGAUAAUGUCUUCGGACCAAAGAUUUAUCGCCUUUGGAUGGGCCCGCGUUGGAUUAGCUAGUUGGUAGGGUAAAAGCCUACCAAGGCGACGAUCCAUAGCUGGUCUGAGAGGAUGAUCAGCCACACUGGGACUGAGACACGGCCCAGACUCCUACGGGAGGGAGCAGUGGGGGAUAUUGGACAAUGGGCGAAAGCCUGAUCCAGCAAUGCCGGGAGAGUGAUGAAGGCCUUAGGGUUGUAAAGCUCUUUUACCCGGGAUGAUAAUGACGGUACCGGGAGAAUAAGCUCCGGCUAACUCCGUG
rnacentral:rRNA from 1 species